CCCACUCAAGCUGAGAGCAGACUCCCUGUCCGUCUCUUUGUCUGCUGUCCGGAUCUCCGGUCUCCCGACCGCCUGGCCAUCGCAUCAGCCCAGUGCCGAUACCAACGUCCACUAACCCGGACUCCAGGACGCCGGCCUCUGACAGGGGAAUCUGUAUUGUUGCCUGAGACCGUUCCCGAACCAUAAGUCACUACCAAAUGUCGCAACCUACCUGGCAAGGCACUUCCUCCAAAGGAUGGAAUUUUCCUCUUCGUGACAAAUACCAUAUGGAAUUAAAUAAAUAAAUCUUUUUUAAAACUUUA